rnacentral:lncRNA from 1 species
UAGAGGAGAUCCAGAUUUCCAUUGUGUUUAUAAUUAGAUUUUUUUAAAAGGAGACUUAACUCUGUGGGCACAGUCUUUUGGCAGUGAAACAAUGGCUGCAGGUAGACCACAUAUGUCACAGGACUGUGGGAAAACUCAACCUUGUGUGUAAAUUGUCACAUCUCAGCUGUCAGCAUCAGUAUCCAUCCUAACAUGUGGAGCUUAUGUCAGUCUUAGUUUGGUUUCCAAAUUUUGUCAUCUUAACAAGAGAACCUGAAGAAGCAGAUGCUGGCUGACAGUGUCCUCAUUGACAACAGUGUUUGAAGCCUUGGCUUUCUUGAGAUGGCUUUCCAGCUCACAUUCUAUGACUCUAUUAUACCAGAUUUUUGAGAACAUACCUUCCUUCCUUCCUUCCUUCUUUCCUUCCUUCCUUCCAUUUCUUUCUUUCUUCCUUUCUUCCUUCCUUUCUUUCUUUUUUUUUCUUUUUCCAAUUUUUUAUUGGAUAUUUUCUACAUUUACACAAUGGAAUAGUACUCAGUUAUUAAGAAUGAGGACAUCCCCUUCCGGUCCGAUCAGCACCGGGGUAGCUAGGGCGCCAGCUACCCACAACACCCGCCACAGGAUCUUAAGACUUCUGGUGAGUGGAACACAGCAUCUGCCCCAAUCCAAUUGCGCGGGACCUGAGACUGCAUUAGUUAGGGAAGCAGAAAACCCGGUCUGAGUAGGGGCACAAGCCCCUUCCAGUCCGAGCAGCACAGGGGUAGCUAGGGCGCAGAGUCGGCUGACACCCACCAGCUACCCACAACACCCACAAUGGUAUCUUAAGACUUCUGAGGAUAGGGAUCUGUCCGGUGCGGGAGCGCUUUGCCUGAGCAUCAGCAGCAGACAUCUCAGUUCCUGGACCCCACCGAGUGUAUCCUGCACAGGGAGCUGGCCAUUUUCCCAGCCAGAGGAUAGGGAUCUGCCCAGCACGGGAGCGCUUUGCCUGAGCAUCGGCAGCAGACAUCUUGGUUCCGGGACCCUGCCGAGUGUAUCCUGCACAGACAUCUUGGUUCCAGGACCCCACCGAGUGUAUCCUGCACAGCUCCAGAGAAUACCAGAUGGCAAAAGGCAAACAUAAGAAUCCUACUAACAGAAAUCAAGACCACACACCAUCAUCAGAACGCAGCACUCCCACCCCACCUAGUCCUGGGCACAACAACACAACCAAAAAGCUAGACCUGGAUUUAAAAGCAUAUCUCAUGAUGAUGGUAGAGGACAUCAAGAAGGACUUUAAUUACUCACUUAAAGAAAUACAGGAGAACACUGCUAAAGAGUUACAAGUUCUUUAAAAAAAAAACAUAGGAAAACACAACCAAACAGGUAGAAGUUCUUAAAGAAAAACAGGAGGGUUCUGGGACUCAGCAGAACUUAGGAAAUUAGUCUGAACAGGUUAGAGGGUGCGCCAGAGAACCAGACAGCUUCUGGGACGGGCGGAAGCACAGAGCCGCUGAGGCAGCACCCUUGGCAGGCCGCAGACAGCCAGCCACCGUCCGGACCAGAGGACAGGUGUCCGCCUGGCUUGGGAGGCAGCCUCAGCCUCAGCAGCAGUGGUCGCCAUCUUGGUUCCGGGACUCAGCAGAACUUAGGAAAUUAGUCUGAACAGGUUAGAGGGUGCGCCAGAGAACCGGACAGCUUCUGGGACAGACAGAAGCACAGAGCCGCUGAGGCAGCACCCUUGGCGGGCCGCAGACAGCCAGCCACCAUCCGGACCAGAGGACAGGUGUCCGCCUGGCUUGGGAGGCAGCCUCAGCCUCAGCAGCAGUGGUCGCCAUCUUGGUUCCAGGACUCAGCAGAACUUAGGAAAUUAGUCUGAACAGGUUAGAGGGUGCGCCAGAGAACCAGACAGCUUCUGGGACGGGCAGAAGCACAGAGCCGCUGAGGCAGCACCCUUGGCGGGCCGCAGACAGCCAGCCACCAUCCGGACCAGAGGACAGGUGUCUGCCUGGCUUGGGAGGCAGCCUCAGCCUCAGCAGCAGCGGUCGCCAUCUUGGUUCCAGGACUCCCUGGAACUUAGGAAUUUAGUCUGCACAGGUGAGAGUCUGCACCACAGAAGCUGACAGCUUCUGGGAACUGCCAAAGCAACACAGCUUCUGAAAGAGGCCCUGUUUUGGGCCUUCUUCUUCGACCAGGAGGAGGUCCAAAAACAAGAUAUCUGCGCACCUUCCCUGUAAGAGAGCUUGCCAGCAGAGAGUGCUCUGAGCACUGAAACUCAGAGGAGAGAAUCUGUCACCCAGGUCUGCUGAGAGACGGUAACAGAAUCACCAGAAGAACAAUCUCUAAACAGAGUCAACUAUAACUACUAACUCCAGAGAUUACCAGAUGGCGAAAGGUAAACGUAGGAAUCCUACUAACAGGAACCAAGACCACUCACCAUCAUCAGAACCCAGCACUCCCACUUCGCCCAGUCCAGGGCACCCCAACACACCCGAAAACCUAGACCUAGAUUUAAAAGCAUAUCUCAUGAUGAUGGUAGAGGACAUCAAGAAGGACUUUAAUAAAUCACUUAAAGAAAUACAGGAGAACACUGCUAAAGAGUUACAAGUCCUU